AACAACAUUAGCUACUCACAAUUCCUAAUAUUAAACAUCAAAAUAAAUUUGUGAUGUGUAACAUCAAAAUAAAUAAAAAUGGCUAAUGGGUUAUAAGUGUUCUAAUGAAACAGAAAUAUUCUUCAUAAUAAAUGGAAAUCCCAUUAUUUUAAGCAUAUCAAUAUGCUUUUUAUUUUUUGAAACAUAAGCAUAUCAAUAUGCUACAUUGUACAACAAACAUACCACAUAGCCAUAUCCAUAUGAUACCAGAAAGAGUGGAUGAAUACAAAAAUACAAACUAAACAAUUACAGGAAACUAGAGGAUAGAAUGUCUAAAGUGCUGGUAUAUGGGAGUUGUUCGGCUACUAAAAGGUAGAAAAGCCCCAUUACUCCAGCGUGUUCCUUGGUGUUAUUGUAGAUAGAUUCUAGAGUUAAAGUUUCACCAUCGAUUAUCUUGACAGAACCUGGUUGAGGAUAACAAGUGGACAUUCCUACAAUGUGCCCUACUUCAUUUCCUGCUUCAUUCCCAUUUCCAUAAAUUGGUAUAGAUGAACAUAUAACCCUCCCGUCCUGAAAACAUAAUCCACAAAUUUCACAAAACAAGCUACUGCACAAUGUUUAACUACUUGAUCAAAGGUAAAAGUACUAGAAAACAACCCUGGUACAAAAGUAAACAUUCGAAAAACGACCAAGUAUUGAAGUUACAAACUCAAAGUCUUACCACUACCAAAUAUUUAAGAAUGACAAUAAGUUGUAACUAUUGCAAAUUACCUGUCCAUAUAGAGUUGAUCCAAUUCCGCCCGAAUGUUGAUGAGCAACCCCAUAGAUCACAUAGCCACCUGUUUGAAAUGGGAGAUUUGUCCUCUUUACAUGAACACAACCAUUUUCCUCCUUGUGGUCUGUACUGCAUGAUUCUACUUGAUACUCAACCUGAAACCAAAAAAAAUUCCAUGUUGCUUACUAUAAAACCCAACAAAGUAGAGUUUUAGAGUUAAAUAGAGAUUUAGACAAACAAACUACAUAUAUAGUUGAGAGACUCGACAUUCACACAAUCAGUACACCGGUAGCCGUUGGAUUGAGAUUGGACCAUCAUAGAUUCCAAGUGCGGUAUUUUGGAUUUUCAAACAAUCAAAAUCAUAUAUUUUGGGAAAUGUCCGAUUUUUAACCAACAGUCACUGGUGCAUUGAAUACGUGAAAGCAGGGUAUCCCAACUACACUGAACCCAUUUCAACUAACCAAAUGUUUCUUGAUAAAUUCAUUUACCUUGCAAUUAUGAUCUGAGUUCGUUCCUUUUGAAUCAUCUGAUAGUUUCAAAGUAUCAGUCACAUCAAGUACAUAUAUCUUAACAGGCACUAUAUAAUCAUCCCAAUCAAUCCAUUUCACUUUGUAUCUUAAGUAGAGGCUUCUCUUUGGACCCUCAAAACCUUCCUUCAGCUUGCACUGUGUAUUAUCAUAACAACAUAACAAACCUCCUUUAUAAUCUGGUCUAAUAGACCUUCCAGAUUCAUCGAUUGUAACAUUAUAAAGGUCACACUUACACUCGGUGCACCCUGAUUUAUCCUCUGCGCCGCGAUUAUCAAUAGCAUGAAUAUUAACCAGCCAUUUCUCCUCAAACUCUUCUGGAAUCUCUGCAGGAUUACCUAUCUCUAUUCCAAAAGGAUCCGGAAUAUCAGUCGCCGUUCGUCGUGUUUCGGAUCCAAGGCCAAAGUAUUGUGCAUAAAUAGUUCCCUGACACAUGCCACUGUUCCUAAAAGUAUUUUUCAAAUGCGAGUUUGCUUUACUUUGAUGAUAUCUUACAACAACCCAAUGAUGGAGAUAAGUUUCAUGGAGAGGUAUAGGAUUACCAGCUUCAUCAACUACUUCAGCAUCGAAACUCUUGAUUGCUACAUGACCUCUUGGAAAAUCAAUAUCAUAAUAAAAUCUAUUAACAACUGAUCCAGGUCCUAGCUCAAAUUUGGGGGAUAAGAAAACAGCUGAUUUUAUCUUAGCUUUAGUCUUCAGAAUAGAACCUGAGCAAGAUGUGCUCAACAACAGAAGAAGUAUUGAAAGUGAAAAUACAAAAUUUCCAGACAUAGAACACAUGUUGAUCUUAGCAAAAUCUUGCAUGAUAGUCCUCCCUGGAAGCCUUUAAAAAAGUGAAUUAAACUACAAAAUAAACAAAACAGAUAAUAUAUGGCAGAUCAUAUCACCAAAUAAACUAACUACACAAAUAAGCAUGAAAAAGACAUAGUUUGAACAAAAUCAUCAUCAUCAAGAUUUUAAAUUAGUCACAUGGCAACUUAUAAAUACAGUUGAAGUUGAUUCAGCUUCAAUUGCAAUCACAACUAGUCAUCAAAAUUUUGAUGUUGUGACUACAAUUGUUGUCACAGAACAUAACAUUUUUAAAACAUAAACUUAUGAUCAAGCAACUUUGUUUUAUAUUAAAAAAAAAAGUAUAAUUAGCAAUAUUAGAUAGUGAUUAUAGAAACUAAUGACCAAAAAGGAUUAGAGUAUAUGAUCAAGAAUAGAUAGAUGAGAUUGCAUACCUCAAGAAAGUCUGGAAAAUGACAGAGUCUGGAAAUUUAGAGUGUGUCGGUAUUAAAUAGUAGAUAAGAUAAUGAAUGAGUGAAUGAAUGCAAGUGUAGAGAUUGUAAUUCAAUAUUUUAAAUUAUCUUUUCUUUCCUUUUUGGGACACGCAGCCCCUAAAUAUAUUUAGCCGACUAAAUUAAUAUAUUUAAAUAGCUUAAGCAUUUUAUUAAAAAUAAAUGGUAUAAUCAACUUCUGAUAAUGUCUAAUUUUUUUUUUUAAGUAAAAAUGGAAAGCAUGACAUCAUAGUAAGUCAUCGACAUCCCAACUAUAUUGACACCUCAGUGCACUAUCACUCCUCUAUUAUCUCACCAAAAAUAUACUUCAUAAUUUGUCUUAUCCUUUUAACAAUUACUAGUAAUUAUUCAUUGACAAUGAUAUGUUGGUGCUCCCAUCCCACCUCUAAAAAAAAUUUCUCCAUCUUCAAAAAUAUAUAAGAAAAUGAUAAAGAAAAUGAGUGGCUGAUAAGCUCUAUAUUAUUCUAAAUACUAAAUUUAUCCGUUGAAAUUUUUUAAAUUCAGAACUACUUCACAAAGUGAUAUCUUACGUAUUUUCUAUAUAGGAGCAUAAGUGUCUUCACAAAAUACUAAUUCCUUUAGUUCAAUUUUUCUACCCAACCAAACAAGCAAAGAGAACACUUAUCUUUUCUUACCCAGUUUCUCUUUUCUCGAAUACAUAGGUGUUAUUCAAAAAUCUAAAAAAAUGUGACAAAAUUAUACUAGGAGUUAUUUAUCUUUAUUAUUGAUUUUUAUUGCGAAGUUGUAGUGCACCAUUCUUAUCGUGGAGCAAACUUUUGUGCGGAUACAUUGACAAAUUACGAGUGUUUAUUGGAUAAAAAGAUGAAAUUUUAAGAGUCAUAUCCGGUGAAUUUUAGUCAUUUGUUAAUUACUAAUGUAAUUGGGAGAAUUUCUUCCGCUAUAUUAAUCUUGUGUAAUCUUUUUUCUCUUUUCUCGAAUACAUAGGUGUUAUUCAAAAAUCUAAAAAAAUGUGACAAAAUUAUCCUAGGAGUUAUUUAUCUUUAUCUUCUUUUUUCCCCAAAUUGAUCACUUAUCUUUAUAAAUGUGCACAACUAAAUCUUUUAUCAUAUUUGUUUGUAACAUAUUCAUCAAUUAUUUUAUUUAUUUAUAACAUAUUCAUCCUUUAUCUUAUUUUUUAUCUCACACGUGUCAUUUAUCUUUAUAAAUGUGUACGAAUAUUUCAAAGGGAUGGGCUGCAAUAUUUCAAUGUUUGGUCGCGAGGUAAGGAAAGUUUGACAAAAAAUUUAUUCCCACCAAAUAUCGAACUCAGGUUCUCCCGAACAAUUCAUCCUUAAGGGAGCUAAUUUACUCUAUAUUAUCCAAUAAACAUGGAUGUUCUUGCGAGUAUAUUUGGAAAGACACUAAAUGUUGGAUUUUAAAUGUUAGUGGUUCAGUCGAAUGUUGGAUAUAAAAUGUUGCGAGUAUAUCAGAACUGUGGUUCAAUAGUGUUUAUAAAAUUUGGACACCACUCUCUUACAAGCCGAUUUUAUAAGAUCGAAUUAAACUAACUCAAAUUCUAACCAAACCCUUUGAUUGAUUGUUACUAUGUCUGCACAAGAUCUGUUAUUCUUUUGUAUUGCCUUAAUCUCAUGACUUGUGUAUAUCUAUCUUUCUGAUUUAAGGGGCUAUAAAAUAUUUAUUCCAGGAUCCUGUUUGUUACACUACACUGUAAGAUUGUUUCAGAUGCUAAAUUAGCGUUUCAGAUCAGAGAUUAGUUCUAUAACAAUGUGUUAACCUAUUACUAUCACUUUCUACCCUUGAGGCCUUGACAAAUGAGUUUGUUCUGACUAUUGAAACGAGAGAGACGAACAUGGACAAAAACUAACCUAAUUGAAAUGCAAUGGUGACAACUGAGNNNNNNNNNNNNNNNNNNNNNNNNNNNNNNNNNNNNNNNNNNNNNNNNNNNNNNNNNNNNNNNNNNNNNNNNNNNNNNNNNNNNNNNNNNNNNNNNNNNNNNNNAUAUCUAUAUCCAUAUAUGAUACUUAUCACAUAGCCAUAUAACAUAUUCAUAUAUGAUACAAGAAAGAGUGGAUGAAUCCAAAAAUACAAACUGUAUAUCACUAAAACUAGAGAAUAUGCUCACCUCUUGUUUUUCUCCUAUAGCUAGCUACAUACAAAGAGAAAAAAGUGUAAUUAUCCAAUUACACUUUCCAAUCUUGUCUUUAUUCCUCUCAAGUCUUAACCAACCAUAUGGUAAUUUAAUAUCAUGUCACUCCGCUUAUAUUACCAUUUAUUUACAUCCAUAAAAAAUGAAGAACGAGUAGAAUGUCUAAAGUGUUGGUAUGGGAGUUGUUCUGCUACUAAAAGGUAGAAAAGCCCCAUUACUCCAGAGUGUUCCUUGGUGUUAUUGUAGAUAGAUUCUAGAGUUAAAGUUUCACCAUCGAUUAUCUUGACAGAACCUGGUUGAGGAUAACAGGUGGACAUUCCUACAAUGUACCCUACUUCAUUUCCUGCUUCAUUCCCAUUUCCAUAAGUUGGUAUAGAUGAACAUAUAACCCUACCGUCCUGAAAACAUAAUUCACAAAUUUCACAAAACAAGCUACUGCACAAUGUUUAACUUCUUGAUCAAAAGUAAAAGUACUAGAAAACAACCCUGGUACAAGAGUAAAC
rnacentral:lncRNA from 1 species